rnacentral:rRNA from 1 species
GAUGAACGCUAGCGACAGGCUUAACACAUGCAAGUCGAGGGGCAGCAUGAUUUGUAGCAAUACAGAUUGAUGGCGACCGGCGCACGGGUGAGUAACGCGUAUGCAACUUACCUAUCAGAGGGGGAUAGCCCGGCGAAAGUCGGAUUAAUACCUGAUGGUAUGAUGAGAUCGCAUGGUAUCAUCAUUAAAGAUUUAUCGGUGUACGAUGGGGAUGCGUUCCAUUAGGUAGUAGGCGGGGUAACGGCCCACCUAGCCUACGAUGGAUAGGGGUUCUGAGAGGAAGGUCCCCCACAUUGGAACUGAGACACGGUCCAAACUCCUACGGGAGGCAGCAGUGAGGAAUAUUGGUCAAUGGACGAGAGUCUGAACCAGCCAAGUAGCGUGAAGGAUGAAGGUCCUACGGAUUGUAAACUUCUUUAUAAGGGAUAAACCUCCCACGUGUGGGAGCUUGUAUGUACCUUAUGAAUAAGCAUCGGCUAACUCCGUGCC